rnacentral:tRNA from 1 species
UCCCUGGCGGUCCAGUGGUUAAGACUCUGUGCUAACAACACAGGGGGCCCAGGUUCGAUCCCUGGUCAGGGAG